UGGGGAAUCUUGCGCAAUGCGCGAAAGCGUGACGCAGCAACGCCGCGUGUGGGAAGACGGCCUUCGGGUUGUAAACCACUUUCAGGAGGGACGAAGUGUCGGCCGCGAAUAGCGCGCCGGCUUGACGGUACCUUCAGAAGAAGCUCCGGCUAACUACGUGCCAGCAGCCGCGGUAAUACGUAGGGAGCAAGCGUUGUCCGGAAUCAUUGGGCGUAAAGCGCGCGUAGGCGGCCCUGUAAGUCCGCUGUGAAAGUCAAAGGCUCAACCUUUGAAUGCCGGUGGAUACUGCAGGGCUAGAGUCCGGAAGAGGCAAGUGGAAUUCCUGGUGUAGCGGUGGAAUGCGCAGAUAUCAGGAGGAACACCAACGGCGAAGGCAGCUUGCUGGGACGGUACUGACGCUAAGGCGCGAAAGCGUGGGGAGCGAACAG
rnacentral:rRNA from 1 species